rnacentral:rRNA from 1 species
AUUGAACGCUGGCGGCAGGCCUAACACAUGCAAGUCGAACGAGUGGCGGACGGGUGAGUAAUGUCUGGGAAACUGCCUGAUGGAGGGGGAUAACUACUGGAAACGGUAGCUAAUACCGCAUACCAUCGGAUGUGCCCAGAUGGGAUUAGCUAGUAGGUGGGGUAACGGCUCACCUAGGCGCCGAUCCCUAGCUGGUCUGAGAGGAUGACCAGCCACACUGGACCUGAUACACGGUCCAGACUCCUCCGGGAGGCAUCAGUGGGGAAUAUUGCACCAUGGGCGCAAGCCUGAUGCAGCCAUGCCGCGUAUAUGAAGAAGGCCGUCGGGUUGUAAAGUACUGUCGGCGGGGAGGCGUUACCCGCAGAAGAAGCACCGGCUAACUCCGUGCCAGCAGCCGCGGUAAUAC